UACGGAGGGUGCAAGCGUUAUCCGGAUUUACUGGGUUAAAGGGUGUGUAGGCGGACUUUAAGUCAGGGGUGAAAUCCCGAGGCUCAACCUCGGAACUGCCUUUGAUACUAUUGGUCUUGAAUGUUGUUGAGGUGGGCGGAACGGGUCAUGUAGCGGUGAAAUGCAUAGAUAUGACCCGGAACACCGAUUGCGAAGGCAGCCCGCUAAGCAACUAUUGACGCUGAGGCACGAAAGCGUGGGGAUC
rnacentral:rRNA from 1 species